rnacentral:lncRNA from 1 species
UUCUCUUUCUUCUCAUCCUCACUCGUACAAUCCACCACAUCGCUCUUCGGCUCCUCCUCUUCACUCAACAAAACCACAUUUUCACCCCUUUUAACCCCUCCAUCACCCUCUAACUCCUCCUCACCACCAACAACCUUCGAUUUCGCCAAAUCAUCACUCAUCGGAACCACAUUUUCAGCCCCUUUAACCCCUCCGUCACCACUUUCCAACUCCUCCUCGCCAACAACAACCUUCGUCUUCGACAACUCAUCACUCAACAAAACCACAUUUCCAUCCGUUUUAACCCCUCCAUCACUCUCCAACUCCUCAACAACAACCCUCGAUUUCGACAACUCCUCGUUCAUCAAAACCACAUUUUCAUCCCUCUUCACAAUUCCAUCUCUUUCUAACUCCUCCAAUGCCUCACCACCAACCUCAACCUUCGAACUCGGUAAAUCCUCACUCAUCAAAACCACAUUUUCCUCCAAUUCCUCACCAAACACCUUCGAAUUCGACAACUCAUCACUCACCAUAACCACAUUUUCACCACUUUUAUCCCCUCCAUCACCACCCUCCAACUCCUCCACGCCAACAACCUUCGAUUUCGGCAACUCCUCAUUCAUCAAAACCACAUUUCCCCCCUCCAAUUCCUCACCAACACCAACCUCCUUCGAUUUUGACAAAUCCUCACUCAUCAAAACCAC